rnacentral:rRNA from 1 species
CCUACGGGUGGCAGCAGUGAGGAAUAUUGGUCAAUGGGCUUACGCCUGAACCAGCCAAGUCGCGUGAGGGAAGACUGCCCUAUGGGUUGUAAACCCCUUUUGUCAGGGAGCAACGCCGGCUACGUGUAGCCGGACUGAGAGCACCUGAAGAAAAAGCAUCGGCUAACUUCGUGCCAGCAGCCGCGGUAAUACGGGGGAUGCGAGCGUUAUCCGGAUUUAUGGGGUUUAAAGGGUGCGUAGGCGGAAUGCCAAGUCAGCGGUAAAAUCGCGGGGCUCAACCUCGCUCCGCCGUUGAAACUGGGGAUCUUGAGUGGGCGAGAGGUAUGCGGAAUGCGUAGUGUAGCGGUGAAAUGCAUAGAUAUCACGCAGAACUCCGGUUGCGAAGGCAGCAUACCGGCGCCCAACUGACGCUGAGGCACGAAAGCGUGGGUAUCGAACAGGAUUAGAUACCCUAGUAGUC